GACCUGGUGGCUGAUGGUAUAGCGCCCCCACUCUGUAAAAGGAUUACGACGGUCAGGGGAGGACAGCUGGUUCGAAUCCAGCCCAGGCCU